AGUGAACGCUGGCGGUAGGCCUAACACAUGCAAGUCGAACGGCAGCACAGGAGAGCUUGCUCUCUGGGUGGCGAGUAGCGGACGGGUGAGGAAUACAUCGGAAUCUACUCUGUCGUGGGGGAUAACGUAGGGAAACUUACGCUAAUACCGCAUACGACCUACGGGUGAAAGCAGGGGAUCUUCGGACCUUGCGCGAUUGAAUGAGCCGAUGUCGGAUUAGCUAGUUGGCGGGGUAAAGGCCCACCAAGGCGACGAUCCGUAGCUGGUCUGAGAGGAUGAUCAACCACACUGGAACUGAGACACGGUCCAGACUCCUACGGGAGGCAGCAGUGGGGAAUAUUGGACAAUGGGCGCAAGCCUGAUCCUGCCAUACCGCGUGGGUGAAGAAGGCCUUCGGGUUGUAAAGCCCUUUUGUUGGGAAAGAAAUCCAGCUGGCUAAUACCCGGUUGGGAUGACGGUACCCAAAGAAUAAGCACCGGCUAACUUCGUGCCAGCCGCCGCGGUAA
rnacentral:rRNA from 1 species